UGGACAUGCAGCACUCUCCCUCAUGAUUGCCAACAAGAUGGCACAUCAUGUGGAGUUCUUGCCUUAAAAUUUGCAGAAAAGAUUUUGCAGGGAGAGGCAAUCGACAUCAGUACGUCAGAGGAGGCAGUGGAGAAAUUGAGGCUCAACAUAGCCACUUGCCUCCUCGAAGAAUCUGAUGAACUAAGCAGCCUGUGCUUUUACUGUGGAGUGGAGGACCAGGACGAAGAUGAAGCACAAUGGAUUUGCUGUGACAGCUGCCAGAGGUGGUACCAUCACGGAUGUGUGAACAGACCCUCCAUGGAUGAGGAAUUCUUGUGCCUUGGAUGCACAUAAGUUUGUUGUUUUUUCUGCUGUAU
rnacentral:lncRNA from 1 species